rnacentral:rRNA from 1 species
AUACGGAGGGUGCAAGCGUUAUCCGGAAUCAUUGGGUUUAAAGGGUCCGUAGGCGGAUAAUUAAGUCAGAGGUGAAAUCCCACAGCUUAACUGUGGCACUGCCUUUGAUACUGGUUAUCUUGAGUUACAGGGAAGUAGAUAGAAUAUGUAGUGUAGCGGUGAAAUGCAUAGAUAUUACAUAGAAUACCGAUUGCGAAGGCAGUCUACUAUCUGUAUACUGACGCUAAUGGACGAAAGCGUGGGGAGCGAACAGGAUUAGAAACCCCAGUAGUCC